UGUCAAGCUCAAAGGAAUAAGAUUUUGU
rnacentral:rRNA from 1 species